AACGAACGCUCGCGGCAUGCCUAACACAUGCAAGUCGAACGAGACCUUUGGGUCUAGUGGCGCACGGGUGCGUAACGCGGGGGAAUCUGCCCUUGGGUUCGGAACAACAGGUGGAACCCGCUGCUAAUACCGGAGUGUGGGUUCGGUCCAGAGAUUUAUCGCCCAGGGAUGAGCCCGCGUAGGAUUAGCUUGUUGGUGAGGUAAAAGCUCACCAAGGCGACGAUCCUUAGCUGGUCUGAGAGGAUGAUCAGCCACACUGGGACUGAGACACGGCCCAAACUCCUACGGGAGGCAGCAGUGGGGAAUCUUGCGCAAUGGGCGAAAGCCUGACGCAGCCAUGCCGCGUGGAUGAUGAAGGUCUUAGGAUUGUAAAAUCCUUUCACCGGUGAAGAUAAUGACCGUAGCCGGAGAAGAAGUCCCGGCUAACUUCGUGCCAGCCGCCGCAGUAACAC
rnacentral:rRNA from 1 species